UGAGCAACCUGCCCUGGACUCUGGGAUAAGCGCUGGAAACGGCGUCUAAUACUGGAUAUGAGGCGUGACCGCAUGGUCAUGUUUGGAAAGAAUUUCGGUCUGGGAUGGGCUCGCGGCCUAUCAGCUUGUUGGUGAGGUAAUGGCUCACCAAGGCGUCGACGGGUAGCCGGCCUGAGAGGGUGACCGGCCACACUGGGACUGAGACACGGCCCAGACUCCUACGGGAGGCAGCAGUGGGGAAUAUUGCACAAUGGGCGGAAGCCUGAUGCAGCAACGCCGCGUGAGGGAUGACGGCCUUCGGGUUGUAAACCUCUUUUAGCAGGGAAGAAGCGAAAGUGACGGUACCUGCAGAAAAAGCGCCGGCUAACUACGUGCCAGCAGCCGCGGUAAUACGUAGGGCGCAAGCGUUAUCCGGAAUUAUUGGGCGUAAAGAGCUCGUAGGCGGUUUGUCGCGUCUGCUGUGAAAUCCCGAGGCUCAACCUCGGGCCUGCAGUGGGUACGGGCAGACUAGAGUGCGGUAGGGGAGAUUGGAAUUCCUGGUGUAGCGGUGGAAUGCGCAGAUAUCAGGAGGAACACCGAUGGCGAAGGCAGAUCUCUGGGCCGUAACUGACGCUGAGGAGCGAAAGGGUGGGGAGCAAACAGGCUUAGAUACCCUGGUAGUCCACCCCGUAAACGUUGGGAACUAGUUGUGGGGACCAUUCCACGGUUUCCGUGACGCAGCUAACGCAUUAAGUUCCCCGCCUGGGGAGU
rnacentral:rRNA from 1 species